rnacentral:tRNA from 1 species
AUAGUAGCUCAGUCGGUAGAGCAUCAGCUUCCCAAGCUGAGGGUCGCGGGUUCGACCCCCGUCUA